UACGUAGGGGGCAAGCGUUGUCCGAAUUUAUUGGGCGUAAAGAGCGUGUAGGCGGCCAGGUAGGUCCGUUGUGAAAACUGGAGGCUUAACCUCCAGCUGUCGAUGGAAACCAUCUGGCUAGAGUCCGGAAGAGGAGAGUGGAAUUCCUGGUGUAGCGGUGAAAUGCGCAGAUAUCAGGAAGAACACCCGUGGCGAAGGCGGCUCUCUGGGACGGUACUGACGCUGAGACGCGAAAGCGUGGGGAGCGAACAGG
rnacentral:rRNA from 1 species